AUGGAGAAGCUGGACGAGAGCAAGUUCGAGCAGCAGCUGCAGCUCUGGGCGCUCCGCAUCCCCCGCGAGCUCGCCUCCGCCGUCACCCGCCUGCUUCGCUCCGGGUCCCUACUGGACAUGCCGCGGGUCAAGCCUGUAGUUGAGGACCCUGGGAGUGACAAGAACAGACUCGUGGUGCUGUCGGAGAAGAUCCAGAACCCAGAUUUGUCCGACAUUCCGGAGCAGGUUCACAAUUCCUUGAAGCAACUGUGCAGCGUUGAUGUUGUACCUUACAUGUUGACUCUUGGUUAUUCUUACUUUAGUGCUGACCAUAUUCUGAAGCAAAUAUUGCCUGAAGGAGUAGAGGUGCCCUCUUCUUUUGAAACAAUUGGCCAUGUUGCUCACUUAAACAUACCUGAUGACUUGCUAGCAUACAAAGAUGUCAUAGCAAAGGUUAUCUAUGAUAAAAAUUAUCCAAGGAUUCAAACAGUGGUUAAUAAAGUUGGGGCAAUUUCAAAUGAAUUUAGAGUCCCAAAGUUUGAGAUUCUAGCAGGGAAAAAGGAUAUGGUGACUGAAGUUAAACAGUAUGGUGCUACAUUUAGACUUGACUAUGGUUUGGUCUACUGGAAUUCGAGACUUGAGCAUGAACACAUCAGAUUGGUUUCCCUUUUCAAGAAAGGAGAUGUUAUCUGUGACAUGUUUGCUGGUAUUGGCCCAUUUUCUAUCCCAGCCAGACAGAAAGGAUGUGUUGUAUAUGCAAAUGAUUUAAAUCCAGACAGUAUUCAUUAUCUGAAGACAAAUGCAAAGAUUAACAAGGUGGAGGAUUAUAUCUUCACAUAUAACAUGGAUGCUAGAGUAUUCAUGCAAAGUUUAAUGGCAGUACCUGACCCAGAAACUAAGUCCGAGUGUCAAUUUGCUGCUGCUAAUCGUUGUUCUGAAGAAAUCGUUUCUGGUAAUGAACACCCUACACCAAAUGGAAAUCAUAAUGAUGUACAAGAGACCUGGCAAGGGAGUUUGGAUGGCUCCUCCAUGGUAAGCACUAGUGCCAAAAGGCGUCAAGAAACCUCUAGCGAAGGUGAUGUUGCCGGCCAAGAAGAUGCCAGUCAAACAAAAAAGAGGAACAAUAAGAAAGUUAAAAGCUCAGGGCCACUACCUGUCAAGCCUUGGGAGCACAUUGACCAUGUAUUAAUGAAUCUCCCUGCUUCUGCACUGCAGUUUCUCGAUUGUUUUAGUGGUCUUAUUCAAAAGAGAUACUGGAAAGGGUCAUUACCUUGGAUCCACUGUUAUUGUUUCAUCCGUUCGAGUGAAACUGAAGAAUCGAUAUUAUGUGAAGCACAAAAUAAACUGAAUGCCAAGAUAGCAGAACCAAUAUUCCAUAGGGUUCGUGAUGUUGCACCUAACAAGGCUAUGUUUUGCUUAAGUUUUAGGUUACCCGUGGAAUGUCUCAAGGAGGAAACUGAAGAUCACAUUUGA
rnacentral:rRNA from 1 species